rnacentral:lncRNA from 1 species
CCAUCCUUUGUCUCCCCUGAAUGGGAAUUUCUGCAAAGUUGUCCAAGCACGUCUAAGCUCACCUGAGAUGCCUCUCUAAUUCCCCAGCAGAGUCUACUCUGACCUGGAAGGCUCCCCGAUUCCCCAACUCGUCCACCUCUGCGAUGCCUCCCUAGUUCCCGAGGCGUGUCUACACCGACCUGGGAUGUCUCCCUAAUUCUCUAAGUGUGUCUCCACUGACUUGAUAUGUCUCCCCAUUUCCCAGGAACUUCUGUGCAGAAUGGGGACAAAUCCCUAGAACCCCAGGUAUGUCAGUCAUGAGCUGGGAUGUCUGCCUAAUUCCUCAGUUGUGUCUACACUGACCUGGGAUAUCUUCCAAAUCCCCCAGCUGUGUCUAUACUGACCUGCAAUGUCUCCCUAAUUCCCCAGGUGUGUCUACUCUGACCUGCGUUUUCGCUUUAAUUCCCCAGGUGUGUCUAAACUGACCUGGGUUGUAGUCCUAAUUCCACAGCUUUGGGGACAAGGAUGGGAUCCAAAGGAGAUUGCUGAUGACUUUGGGGACAACAAGAUAUGCAGGUGUUAGUAUCUGCUGAACCAUUUGACUUCUCUGUCUUUCUCGCCAUUUCCGAGGACCAUGGUUCCCAGUGACCCAGAUGGGACCUGCUGGGAUACCCACCCCACUUGCUCUGGAGCCUGCAGACAGGAUCCAGGGAAAACUGGCAGAAGUUGGCAAAGGGUAUACCUUCGGUUUAAAAGAAGAAGAGAAGGGAGUUCAGUAUCGCCAGGGAUAUUUAUUGUUUGUCCCAGCGAAAACCUGUUAAGAAGAUAUUUGAAAGGAUUUUUUCAAAAUGAGCUCUAUGGUCAAAAGUUGGCCAAAUUGGAAGCUGAUAUAAGAGCC